GAUGUCUCUCUACCUCGAUCCUCUCACUCCCUCUCUCUCUUUCUCUCUGUCAGCCGGCGUAGGUGGACGUGGCAAGGAAAGGCUCUCGGAUUAGUAGGGAAACUCCAGACAAACGACACUGCCCUGGGUGAACCAUGAACCUCCACUGCAGAGGGCAUAGCAGCAGCAGCAGCAAGUUUGUCACAGAUGGAGCCUGAUAUUCUACGUGCCACCUCCAUCAAUUGUGUGUGUUAGAAUGACUUCCCUUGUGUCAUCUGAUAAUAAACACUAAUAUGAAGUUCACCCUUUAUGUAUCUUCACUGGUAUAAAAUAAACACUCAGGUAAAAA